GAUGAACGCUGGCGGCGUGCCUAAUACAUGCAAGUCGAGCGAACAGACGAGGAGCUUGCUCCUCUGACGUUAGCGGCGGACGGGUGAGUAACACGUGGAUAACCUACCUAUAAGACUAGGAUAACUUCGGGAAACCGGAGCUAAUACCGGAUAAUAUAUUGAACCGCAUGGUUCAAUAGUGAAAGACGGUUUUGCUGUCACUUAUAGAUGGAUCCGCGCCGCAUUAGCUAGUUGGUAAGGUAACGGCUUACCAAGGCAACGAUGCGUAGCCGACCUGAGAGGGUGAUCGGCCACACUGGAACUGAGACACGGUCCAGACUCCUACGGGAGGCAGCAGUAGGGAAUCUUCCGCAAUGGGCGAAAGCCUGACGGAGCAACGCCGCGUGAGUGAUGAAGGUCUUCGGAUCGUAAAGCUCUGUUAGUAGGGAAGAACAAAUGUGUAAGUAACUAUGCACGUCUUGACGGUACCUAAUCAGAAAGCCACGGCUAACUACGUG
rnacentral:rRNA from 1 species